rnacentral:lncRNA from 1 species
AAAGAGUUCUAUCAGGAGGCCGAUUUUAACACCUUUAUCCCGGGAAUGAUGGAAACGUUACAAGGAACAAUGUCAUCACUAUUUAUGGGACUUGGGAAGUCCUUGAACGGACAGAAAACACCAGGGAAAAAGGGAGGAGAGGAAGAAUGUUCAGUAAUGUGAAAGAAAAAGGAAAAGAAUGAAGCAUAUUUUUUUUUUAUCUCUUUUCUCCUGCAUUUAUCAUAAAAACUACUGGCAUUUACUUUCAAAAGCGGGACAACAUGUCUCCUAAACUAGACACAGUCUACUAUUGUGUUUGUCCUAAGGAGAGACUCACAUAUUCAAAGGGUGUUUUAUAGCCUUUUU